GUAUGUGUGGAUUAUGAUAAGAGUUGUAUGACCCCCAUUAAAAUGACUUUUUAAAAAAUUUCAGCUGAUCUGGCUAGCUAGCGGGUGUCCCCUUCCUCCCUCACCGCUCCACGUGCAUCCCUCCUGAAGCUGCGUGCUCGGCUGAAGAGGACAACCUUCCCCGAUAGAAGGAAGACGUCCUUCAGUCAAUCCUUUGGUCAAGGGUAUAUGAGUAGCUACACUCCACUGCUAGAACCUCCAAACAAGUCUCAAAAAAAAAAGACCACGAAGUAGAGUGAGAAUUUUAAAUUUAUUUGCUUCUAUUUUGAGUGUAUAUAACACUUAAAAU
rnacentral:snRNA from 1 species